rnacentral:rRNA from 1 species
UGCAGUCGAGCGGUAGCACAGAGAGCUUGCUCUCGGGUGACGAGCGGCGGACGGGUGAGUAAUGUCUGGGAAACUGCCUGAUGGAGGGGGAUAACUACUGGAAACGGUAGCUAAUACCGCAUAACGUCGCAAGACCAAAGUGGGGGACCUUCGGGCCUCAUGCCAUCAGAUGUGCCCAGAUGGGAUUAGCUAGUAGGUGGGGUAACGGCUCACCUAGGCGACGAUCCCUAGCUGGUCUGAGAGGAUGACCAGCCACACUGGAACUGAGACACGGUCCAGACUCCUACGGGAGGCAGCAGUGGGGAAUAUUGCACAAUGGGCGCAAGCCUGAUGCAGCCAUGCCGCGUGUGUGAAGAAGGCCUUCGGGUUGUAAAGCACUUUCAGCGGGGAGGAAGGCGAUAAGGUUAAUAACCUUGGCGAUUGACGUUACCCGCAGAAGAAGCACCGGCUAACUCCGUGCCAGCAGCCGCGGUAAUACGGAGGGUGCAAGCGUUAAUCGGAAUUACUGGGCGUAAAGCGCACGCAGGCGGUCUGUCAAGUCGGAUGUGAAAUCCCCGGGCUCAACCUGGGAACUGCAUUCGAAACUGGCAGGCUAGAGUCUUGUAGAGGGGGGUAGAAUUCCAGGUGUAGCGGUGAAAUGCGUAGAGAUCUGGAGGAAUACCGGUGGCGAAGGCGGCCCCCUGGACAAAGACUGACGCUCAGGUGCGAAAGCGUGGGGAGCAAACAGGAUUAGAUACCCUGGUAGUCCACGCCGUAAACGAUGUCGAUUUGGAGGUUGUGCCCUUGAGGCGUGGCUUCCGGAGCUAACGCGUUAAAUCGACCGCCUGGGGAGUACGGCCGCAAGGUUAAAACUCAAAUGAAUUGACGGGGGCCCGCACAAGCGGUGGAGCAUGUGGUUUAAUUCGAUGCAACGCGAAGAACCUUACCUGGUCUUGACAUCCACAGAACUUUCCAGAGAUGGAUUGGUGCCUUCGGGAACUGUGAGACAGGUGCUGCAUGGCUGUCGUCAGCUCGUGUUGUGAAAUGUUGGGUUAAGUCCCGCAACGAGCGCAACCCUUAUCCUUUGUUGCCAGCGGUUCGGCCGGGAACUCAAAGGAGACUGCCAGUGAUAAACUGGAGGAAGGUGGGGAUGACGUCAAGUCAUCAUGGCCCUUACGACCAGGGCUACACACGUGCUACAAUGGCAUAUACAAAGAGAAGCGACCUCGCGAGAGCAAGCGGACCUCAUAAAGUAUGUCGUAGUCCGGAUUGGAGUCUGCAACUCGACUCCAUGAAGUCGGAAUCGCUAGUAAUCGUAGAUCAGAAUGCUACGGUGAAUACGUUCCCGGGCCUUGUACACACCGCCCGUCACACCAUGGGAGUGGGUUGCAAAAGAAGUAGGUAGCUUAACCUUCGGGAGGGCGCUACC